GCAGACACAUUCCAGCCAAUCAGCAGCAGACCCUCCCUCCAAGACCCUCCCACCUCCUGGACAGCAUCCAUUUUACAUUCAUUGUGAAGCUGCAUUCUUAGUGAGCUGUCCAGGAGGUGGGAGGGUCUGGGAGGGAGGGUCUGCUGCUGAUUGGCUGGAAUGUGUCUG